rnacentral:lncRNA from 1 species
UGCCUCUUUGGUGGUUUUGUUCUCGAGGGAGCAACAAAAUGUAGAAGAGCAAUUUGUUUCGUUUGGGCAUCGUGAUCCAUCAUUGAAUAAAGAUCAAAUUAGACUCCUAACAUUGGCAUUGUUAGAAUUCUAUUAGCAAUUCUCUCUGCUCAACUUUUCAUCUCUGAAAUAGGUGUCUAGCAAAGACCAGGAGGAGGAGACUAUUGGUUUUGUCUGUUAAAUAUUUACAUAUUACAGUUUUGGCACACCAUAAACUUGGGUUUUCUGCUUCUACCUGUUGCUCUGACAAAAAAGAAAUGCUUUAUUUCAAGGUGGCUGCAGUCAGCAGUGCCUUACAGGUCAUGGUUUAGCACAAUAGCUAAUUUUAAAUCAACAUAACUUCAAAUCCCACCUGCCAACACGAGGGCCCCCCAAAGGAUAACUCGAGUAUGUUCAUGGUGCACAUGAAAAGAGACUGCACCUGCCCAAGGAUCAGUCCAGUGCUGAUGGGGCAUAAGCCAUAGGAAAAGUAGAUAAGCCAUGUAAGGGGAAAGAAAUUAGGAGAAUAAAGAGAACUCUAUACUCAAUCCUAAGAUAAGUUUUCUGCAUUCUUAAAUCAAUUUAUUGAUAUUUCAUUCCAUCAACUCCCCCCGACCUUGCCUCGAGAACAAAAAUCAAUAAAUAGCAAAUCAAUGAAAGAAAACUCCUUAUUCAUGCUAUUUUUCUAGUGGUUAUGAGGAAGUGUAAUACAAGUCAGGUAACAUAACUCAAUUUGAUAC